GACGAACGCUGGCGGCGUGCUUAACACAUGCAAGUCGAACGGAAAGGCCCUGCUUUUGUGGGGUGCUCGAGUGGCGAACGGGUGAGUAACACGUGAGUAACCUGCCCUUGACUUUGGGAUAACUUCAGGAAACUGGGGCUAAUACCGGAUAGGAGCUCCUGCUGCAUGGUGGGGGUUGGAAAGUUUCGGUGGUUGGGGAUGGACUCGCGGCUUAGCAGCUUGUUGGUGGGGUAGUGGCUUACCAAGGCUUUGACGGGUAGCCGGCCUGAGAGGGUGACCGGCCACAUUGGGACUGAGAUACGGCGCAGACUGCUACGGGAGGCAGCGGUGGGGAGUAUUACACCAUGGGCGGAGGCCUGAUGCAGCAAAGCCGCGUGCGGGAUGACGGCCUUCGGGUUGUAAACCGCUUUGGCCUGUGACGAAGCGUGAGUGACGGUAAUGGGUAAAGAAGCACCGGCUAACUACGUG
rnacentral:rRNA from 1 species